rnacentral:rRNA from 1 species
UACGAAGGGGGCGAGCGUUGUUCGGAAUUACUGGGCGUAAAGGGCGCGUAGGCGGCCGAUCAAGUUAGAUGUGAAAGUCCUGGGCUUAACCUGGGGACUGCAUUUGAUACUGAUUGGCUUGAAUUCGGGAGAGGAUAGCGGAAUUCCCCAAGUGUAGAGGUGAAAUUCGUAGAUAUUGGGAAGAACACCGGUGGCGAAGGCGGCUAUCUGGACCGACAUUGAACGCUGAGGCGGCGAAAAGCGUGGGGAGCAAACACGG